UCCCUUCACCCCUCCUUUUUGCCCCCGAUUUCCCUUCCCCUUCAAAAUUGCCCCCCAAAAUGCGCCCCCCCCCCCCCCCCAGCACGGCAAAGCCGUGCCUCAUCGACCCCUAGCGGGGUUGCUGGUGUGGGCGCUGGGCUGCCAGCACAAUAUAUAAGAAUAUAUACAGAAUGGUUUGGGUUGGAAGGGGCCAUAAAGAUCACCUAGUCCCAAAUAUAUAGGACCACAAAACACCUCGAGUUGGAAGGGACCUUAAAAACCAGCUAGUCCCACCCCCCUGCCAUGGGUACGUACAUACGGGGUAUAUGGGUAUGGUGUAUAUAACCUACAUACAGGAUAUAUAGGUAUGGUGGUGUUUUCACAUCACGUCCCCAGCAGAAAGCGCGUUCUGGCUGAUUUCAGUGCUCUCCAGCGCUCGGAGAUUGCUGUGGAUCUGUGCUACAUAAUGGCUUGCAAAACAAAGGAUAAUUUCGUUAGGGGCCGAGUCGAGGGACGGUGCCAAAUUUUUACUUGCAACUUGAAACCAGUCCUUGAGUAACUGACGCCACAGAAGCCUUAGGAAACUUUUGUUUGUCGCUCCCAAUUAUUUUCUGUCAAAAGUAUUUGCAAGACACUUUUCGGGUAGUAGUAAACUCAAAUUGAUGGUAAUUUGUUUGUGUAAAUCCAAGUAGAUUUAUUUAUCGCCCCAAAAUCGAGGGAUAAUUCUUUUUCAGAACGCACUAUUAAACGGUGUAAGCCAGGAAUCAUGUCCUGGGACAAACGAGCUGCAAAUCAAUUUUUGUUAAAAGUACCAGGAGGCCUAUACAAUUUUAAAGGGUUUUCUUUAAUAUCAAGUGAAAUUGAUCAUCAAACACCUUUUAGAUAUUCUGUGUGUACCUCACCAAAAUAAAAUACUACGUUUCUACAAGGCUGUCAAGUUAUAAAUCUCAGAAUAAUGUGUAGAGGAGGGUGAAUUACAAAUGAGCCCUUUUGUAGCUGGUUACACUGAAGCACAAAAAGCUCAGUGCUUUGUCCAGGGGAGGGAGUACUUCCAGCUACAGCAAUUUUCAGUUCAGUGCCUGAUCCUUCGCCUUUCAAAAAUGUUCAGCUGAAGCUCUAAGAGUUUACCAUCCUAUAGACACUUCUCUGGGUUAUGUCGAUUAUGUGGGUUAUGUGGAUUUUUAUUUCCCAUAUCAAACUUCUCUAGGCAGAUGCUAACCAUUUGACUUGUUUUGGGACUAAAUAACAAAGGUUCCAUAGGAUAGCACAGUUGAAAGAAGGAAGCAAAAAACCAACAGCUUAUGUUAUAAAAAUGGUCAUUACCAGAAUGGCUGGUAUUAAAGAAAACAGUUUCUUAGUUUGAAAACAGGCAAGCUGUUUUUCACUGCGCUGUGUACAAGCACUGACAUUUAUAGUCACUCGUGUAUUGUUUGUAACUGUCAUAAAAACUGAUGAAUAUUUAAAACUUGGGUUAUGGGGAAGAUGAGCAAAAAUUAAAUAUUGCGUUACUGAAGAUUCAUAUUCAAGAUUUGCAUGUGGUUUUUGUUUCUUACCGGCAUGUGGAAACUGCCAUACCAAAUAAAGACAGCGGUCUGUCUAAUUUCCUUAUAGACACCAUCAUUAACGUAUUUACUUUCCAGCACUGCCUGCAAGAUAGUCGUGUGCUGUUAUAUCUCUUACAAAUGGGGAAGUGUAACACUGCGAGGGGAAGUGGCUUUAACAGCGACAUGCAGAAAUCCUGCCUGUGGAACUGAGCUCUGGCAUCUUUGCUCACCAGAGGGCCUCGUGGCUGUCCAGAGGGACCCCGACAGGCUGACAUGAGGUUAACAAGGAGAAGGGCCACCCAGCUGGAAAGCAGCUCUGCAGAAAAGAAGCUAGAGGUCCUGGUGGACAAGAAGUUGAACGUGAGCCAGCUAUGUGCCCUUGCUGCUAAGAAGGCUAACUGUAUUCUUGGUCACAUUAGGCAAAAUGUUGCCAGCAGGUCAAGAGAGGUGAUCCUUCCCCUCCACUUAGCAUUGGUGAGGCCACUUCUGGAGCACUGUGUCCACUUCUGGGUCCUCCAGUACAAGAGUGACAUGGACAUGCUGAACAGAGUCCAAGGGAGGCCACCAAGAUGAUGGAGGGCCUGGAGCACCUCUCCUGUCAGGAGAGGCUGAGAGCUGGGACUGCCCAGCCUGGAGAAAGGGAGGCGCAGGGGGAUCUCAUCCAUGUCUGAGGGGAGGGUGCUGAGAGGACAGAGCCAGGCUCUUGUCAGAGGUGCCCAGUGCCAGAACAAGGGGCAAUGGACACAAAAAGGCACCCAGGAGCCCUGGCACAGGCUGCCCAGAGAGGCUGUGGGGUCUCCUCCUUGGAGGCUUUCCAAAGCCGCCUGGAGAUGGGCCUGGGCAGCCUGCGCUGGGUGGCCCUGCUGGAUCAGGGCUGGGGCCUCCAGAGGGCCCCGACAGCCUCAGCAGUUCUGGGAUUCUCUGAUCUCAAGUUUCAUGAGUAGAUUCCUUGUUAUGAGGUCAACCUUUUUUAUCUCCUUGCUAGUCAUCUACACAUGAUAUUCCAAAAUAGACAACCAUAGUAAUCACCAUAUGAUACUGGUUCCUUAAUCAGUUUGUAGUUUGCAUAUAACUUGGAGACUCAUAGCUGUCUGUUUUUUAUUGUGAUUAAUUAUCCAUUAAAAUAUAAAAAUAGGUCAUUUUUAAUAUUCUGCUUUCCUAUUGACUUCUGUAAUAUAUUUUGGCAAUGGGCUUCGUAGGAUAAUUAAUUUUAAAUGAAAUUUCAUUAAAUUGUAAUUAAAAAUGUUUUCUUUAACUGCUGUCAUAUGUUGUGAAGUGGGACAUGGGAAUUCUGGUUUUAAAUUUUUUAUUUAUUUUUUUUUUACUCUUCAUUACAAUUACAUUCUAAUUCAUCCUUUUCUCUAUCAUUACCCUAGUUACCCUCUGUACUGAACAGUACAAGUCUUAAACAUAUUUUUGACAAUCUUUCCGUGCAAAAGUUCAGGUAAAGAGAAUAUAAAUCUGUAUGUAGUUCCAACUUCUUUCCAGAUGAUGGGUGUGGUCUCCCUGACAUAUAUAGCUGCUGUUACCGUCUGUGUGCAUGUAGAGUGAGUCAGGAAAUCGACGGUCGUGGGUUAAACUGUAAUUUACACUCCUUUACAAAAAAAAAGGAAGCAUUAAUAUAUAAAAGUGUGUCAGGUUCAUUGCAUUUUCUGGUUUGUCUGAGGACAGAUUUUAGCAUUUAGUGUGUUUUAUAAACUAGAAUUCUUUAAUGGAAUACAAUAGCUAGUAUGCUUACUGUAUUAUAUACACAACAAAAUAUGUUCCUAAUUGUUAUGACUUGGAAGUGUUCAUCCACUAUGUUUAGUCACCCAUAUUUUUGUGUAUUUCAGAAAAAAAAAAAAAAAAAAAAAAAGACACACCUUAUUUGCAGGCCUAUUUGCAUUAAUUUUGUCCUCAGUUCUAUUCCUGGUCUUUUAAGGGAAGUGAGAAGCUUUAUUUCAGUUUCUGUCAGUCCAAGGUGGUGGGUCUUAUGUUUUGCUGAGGAAUGAAACAGAACUAAAUUUCCCUUAAGAAAGAAACUGAAAAAGACACGGAAGAGCUUAUAGGCAAAGCAGGGUAGAGGAAGAGAUUGGUUUUAUUUUAGCUAAGCUUGCUUUUCUGUUCUCUUUUGGCUAAAGGUUAAGAAAGAAAAUAGUCUGUAAAUGAGGACUUCUUGAAUUUUCAAUAGAGUCUAAAAGGUUGAAGAUGGAGCAUUUUAUGACAACUCAUGCAGACUGAUGUCAGGAUGAAUAUAAAAGUGAAUUCCUGAGUACUUACAUGCAGGAAUGAUCUUUCAUCUGAAAAAAAAAUGCAUGUCUGUGUGGAGGAGUGUUGCUCAAGUUGCUCUUUAAGUAAUUCACAUGAUGACUCCCUGAAUUCCUCCUGGUAUUUCAUUAGAGAUGCUGUCUUCCUCCCUUGCAACGGUGAGUAGCUUCCUGUGGUUCAGAGACGGGGGAAGCAACCUGUACACGUUACCCAAGUUGUGCUCUGCAGCAUUUUGAGAUUUAAGAACGCUAAGGACUGCACAAAAAUUUCAUCUCUUGUGUCCAGAGGAAGGACACCAUGGGGCAUUGCACAUUAUGACUCCUGGAAUUCGUGGUUGCUGGCAUGGAGUCUGUGCAAUUAGGCAUAAUAAUCCUCUCACACCAAACAAACUUUCCUAUGUCAAGAACAACAUUUCCGUAAUUACUCUAUGUACUGUUUUGAUUUGCACUUGGAUGGAAGCUUGAAGCAUUUACCUGAUUUUUAUUUAAAUGUUAAACGAAACAAACAAACCUGUGAACUGACUGCUUUUACCCAGAUGUGGAGGUAAUAAACCAAUUUAUAAUUUUAAAAUUCAAUAAUCUGGAAAUCUUUCCAUGGUAAUAAUAAAUAAAUAAAUAAAUAAAUAAAUAAAUAAAUAAAUAAAGGGAAAAAAUGUCAUUUCCUCUUACAAAGAGAACAAACAAAAAUCUUGAGAAAGGUGAAGUGUGUGAAAUGUCUGUUUCUGAGCCUGGCAAGUGUUCUUGAAACCCUCAACCUCCUCAGUGAGAUUAGGUGCUGCGUUUGAGGGUUUUGGUCCUUACUCAUUCAAGAAAGAGCGUGCUCCUCUCUAAACCGUGAUUUAAUCAUGCAAUUGUAGCACUGGCUUUUUGUAAGAGAGGAUGGUGCCUGGCAUUUAAAUUCUUCGUGAAAAGGAGUGAAAAGACGUAGCAGCCUACGUUAUCAGGAUAGGUUUCUGUUCUAGCUAGCGUAAUAUGAAAGGAGCCAUCUUGUGGUUGUCUCUUCUGCAAAUAAAAUCUUGCAACAAUAUUGCCCUGAAAAGCUGAAGUUAAAGUUGCAUCCUACUUCUGUGAUACUUUUUCUUCUACUUGUUCAGUAAUGUUACAUUUUGAGUAAUUUCAAGAAGAAUCCUUUUUCCUUCUAUCAGAUAUUUCAUUCUACUAAAUAUUCUGAAUUAAAAUAACACACGUAACUGAAUCAAACUUGAUACAUUCAGUCUACGUCCCCUACUAGUCAACCCACCCCAAUAUUUGGUAGUCCUCAGACCUCUCUCAUCCUUUAAUCUGUACUCUAAAUUCUGGUUUAAACUGCAGUCCGCAUCAUACCCUCUGAAAUAGGACUAUUGUGGUAAAACUACUUUCUAAAUAAAUGCUAAGUGAUGUAUUUAUUUAUUUAUUUAAUAAACUCUGUUAAAGUGUAAUCCUUGGGA